UUGGAAACAGAUGCUAAUACCGCAUAACAACGUUGUUCGCAUGAACAACGCUUAAAAGAUGGCUUCUCGCUAUCACUUCUGGAUGGACCUGCGGUGCAUUAGCUUGUUGGUGGGGUAACGGCCUACCAAGGCGAUGAUGCAUAGCCGAGUUGAGAGACUGAUCGGCCACAAUGGGACUGAGACACGGCCCAUACUCCUACGGGAGGCAGCAGUAGGGAAUCUUCCACAAUGGGCGCAAGCCUGAUGGAGCAACACCGCGUGAGUGAAGAAGGGUUUCGGCUCGUAAAGCUCUGUUGUUAAAGAAGAACACGUAUGAGAGUAACUGUUCAUACGUUGACGGUAUUUAACCAGAAAGUCACGGCUAACUACGUGCCAGCAGCCGCGGUAAUACGUAGGUGGCAAGCGUUAUCCGGAUUUAUUGGGCGUAAAGAGAGUGCAGGCGGUUUUCUAAGUCUGAUGUGAAAGCCUUCGGCUUAACCGGAGAAGUGCAUCGGAAACUGGAUAACUUGAGUGCAGAAGAGGGUAGUGGAACUCCAUGUGUAGCGGUGGAAUGCGUAGAUAUAUGGAAGAACACCAGUGGCGAAGGCGGCUACCUGGUCUGCAACUGACGCUGAGACUCGAAAGCAUGGGUAG
rnacentral:rRNA from 1 species